rnacentral:rRNA from 1 species
UCCGUAGGGCGCGAGCGUUAUCCGGAAUUAUUGGGCGUAAAGAGCUCGUAGGCGGUUUGUCACGUCUGCUGUGAAAACUGGAGGCUCAACCUCCAGCCUGCAGUGGGUACGGGCAGACUAGAGUGCGGUAGGGGAGAUUGGAAUUCCUGGUGUAGCGGUGGAAUGCGCAGAUAUCAGGAGGAACACCGAUGGCGAAAGCAGAUCUCUGGGCCGUAACUGACGCUGAGGAGCGAAAGCAUGGGGAGCGAACAGG